rnacentral:rRNA from 1 species
GAUGAACGCUGGCGGCGUGCCUAAUACAUGCAAGUCGAGCGAACGGACGAGAAGCUUGCUUCUCUGAUGUUAGCGGCGGACGGGUGAGUAACACGUGGAUAACCUACCUAUAAGACUGGGAUAACUUCGGGAAACCGUAGCUAAUACCGGAUAAUAUUUUGAACCGCAUGGUUCAAAAGUGAAAGACGGUCUUGCUGUCACUUAUAGAUGGAUCCGCGCUGCAUUAGCUAGUUGGUAAGGUAACGGCUUACCAAGGCAACGAUGCAUAGCCGACCUGAGAGGGUGAUCGGCCACACUGGAACUGAGACACGGUCCAGACUCCUACGGGAGGCAGCAGUAGGGAAUCUGCCGCAAAGGGCGAAAGCCUGACGGAGCAACGCCGCGUGAGUGAUGAAGGUCUUCGGAUCGUAAAACUCUGUUAUUAGGGAAGAACAUAUGUGUAAGUAACUGUGCACAUCUUGACGGUACCUAAUCAGAAAGCCACGGCUAACUACGUG